rnacentral:tRNA from 1 species
GCCCGUGUAGCUCAGGCGGUAGAGCACCCCCUUGGUAAGGGGGAGGUCGUCGGUUCGAUUCCGAUCGCGGGCU